GGAAAUAUGUAGACCAAGUAAAAGCUGCUAACUUAUUACUUUAGCGGUUAAAUUCCGUUUAUAUUUCUA
rnacentral:tRNA from 1 species